GUCCACGCCCUAACGAUGUAACUGGUUGUUGGGUCUUCACUGACUCAGUAACGAAGCUAACGCGUGAAGUUGACCGCCUGGGGAGUACGGCCGCAAGGUUGAAACUCAAGGAAUUGACGGGACCCGCACAAGCGGUGGAUGAUGUGGUUUAAUUCGAUGCAACGCGAAACCUUACCCACCUUUGACAUGUACGGAAGUCGCUAGAGAUAGCUUCGUGCUCGAAAGAGAGCCGUAACACAGGUGCUGCAUGGCUGUCGU
rnacentral:rRNA from 1 species